rnacentral:lncRNA from 1 species
GGAGAUUGUGAGUACAUUGUAACAGUGGAGACUGUGAGUACAUUGUAACAGUGGAUACUGUGAGUACAUUGUAGCAGUGGAGACUGUGAGUACAUUGUAACUGUGGAGACUGUGAGUACAUUGUAACAGUGGAGACUGUGAGUACAUUGUAACAGUGGAUACUGUGAUUGCAUUGUAACAGUGGAGACUGUGAGUGCAUUGUAACAGUGGAGUCUGUGAGUACAUUGUAACUCUGGAGAUUGUGACUACAUUGUAAUAGUGGAGACGGUGAGUACAUUGUAACUCUUCACAGGCCAUGAUUUUUUUUCUCCCUCAAAUCCUGUAGCUACAGAUAGAGCUCGAUGUCUGGGCCAAGGGACUUUCCCCAAUUACCAGUAAAAUGCACAU